AGCAGCCGCGGUAAUUCCAGCUCCAAUAGCGUAUAUUAAAGUUGUUGCAGUUAAAAAGCUCGUAGUUGAAUUUCGGGACCAAUAUGUCGGUCGUGCUUCGGUACGUACUUGCAUUAUUGGUUUCUCCCUUCUGACGAACCAUGAUGUCAUUAAUUUGGUGUCUUGGGGAAUCAGGACUGUUACUUUGAAAAAAUUAGAGUGUUUAAAGCAGGCUCACGCUUGAAUACAUUAGCAUGGAAUAAUGAAAUAGGACGUUUGAUUCUAUUUUGUUGGUUUCUAGGAUCGACGUAAUGAUUAAUAGGGAUAGUUGGGGGCAUUAGUAUUCAAUUGUCAGAGGUGAAAUUCUUGGAUUUAUUGAAGACUAACUACUGCGAAAGCACUUGCCAAGGAUGUUUUCAUUAAUCAAGAACGAAAGUUAGGGGAUCGAAGACGAUCAGAUACCGUCGUAGUCUUAACCAUAAACUAUGCCGACUAGGGAUCGGAUGAUGUUAAUUUUUUAAUGACUCAUUCGGCGCCUUAC
rnacentral:rRNA from 1 species